rnacentral:rRNA from 11 species
CAUGUUGUUGCAGUUAAAAUGUUCGUUAACAAGUGUUCGCUAACUACAUAAAAAUCAGGUUUGGCUAUCAAAAUAUUUUUGAAUUUUUCUUCAUCGUUUAAGAUGCAGUUCAUACAGUCCACUGGAACUUUAGCUACUUCUGCCACAUCCGAAGAAAUGAGUGACAUCAAAUCUCUUUCAGUCAAAUAACUUAGUAUUAAUCUCUGUGCAACUUUGAAACAGGAAAACGGCACUAGAUAGCUUGCUGAUUUGUUACGAAGAUAAUAGUUCUGUAAUAUAUGGAUUGCUUUUCGCUGUUCGUAUG